GAAAGUAAGCAAGGGCGCAUGGAGGAUGCCUAGGCUCUCGAAGGCGAAGAAGGACGUGAUAAGCUGCGAAAAGCUACGGUAAGGAGCAAAUAUCCGCUGACCCGUAGAUCUCCGAAUGGGGCAACCCGUCGUCGGAAGGCGACACACUGCAAAGCAGUGGGCAAACGUGGGGAACUGAAACAUCUCAUUACCCACAGGAAAAGAAAAUAACAAUGAUUCCGCCAGUAGUGGCGAGCGAACGCGGAAUAGCCCAAACCGUUCCUGUUUCGGCAGGAUCGGGGUAGAAGGACCGCCAAUAAAGGCAAGAGCGGAGGAAGUCGAACCAAUUGGAAAGUUGGAUCAAAGAAGGUGACAAUCCCGUAGACGAAUCCGAAGCGAAGCCGAGGCGGCACCUGAGUAGUGCGGGACACGAGAAAUCCUGUAUGAAUCCGCGGGGACCAUCCCGUAAGGCUAAAUACUCCCGAGAGACCGAUAGCGAACCAGUACUGUGAAGGAAAGGUGAAAAGAACCUCGAACAGAGGAGUGAAACAGACCCUGAAACCAUGCGCCUACAAGCGGUCGGAGCUUUUAUAAGGAGUGACGGCGUGCCUUUUGCAUAAUGAACCUACGAGUUACUCUUGCCGGCGAGGCUAAGGGCUUCAGGCCCGGAGCCGAAGCGAAAGCGAGUCUGAACAGGGCGCGAUAGUCGGCAGGAGUAGACGCGAAACCAAGUGAUCUACCCAUGAGCAGGUUGAAGGUUGGGUAACACCAACUGGAGGACCGCACCGGUAAACGUUGAAAAGUUUUCGGAUGACUUGUGGGUAGGGGUGAAAGGCUAAUCAAACUUGGAGAUAGCUCGUACUCCCCGAAAUGCAUUUAGGUGCAGCCUUCGGGGCUGAGUUGAAGAGGUAGAGCGACUGAUAAGAUGCGAGGGCUUCACCGCCUAUCAAGUCUUGAUAAACUCCGAAUGCUUCAACUUUUACCCGAGGAGUGAGGGCAUGGGUGCUAAGGUCCAUGUCCGAGAGGGAAAUAACCCAGACCAUCAGCUAAGGUCCCGAAAUAAUAGCUAAGUUGAAUUAACGAAGUAGAAUUGCAAAGACAGCUAGGAUGUUGGCUUGGAAGCAGCCAUUCAUUUAAAGAGUGCGUAACAGCUCACUAGUCGAGGAAUUCUGCGUGGAUAAUAAUCGGGCAUAAGCUAUUUACCGAAGCUAUGGAAUAUGCAAAUAUUGGUAGGGGAGCAUUCCACGGGUCGCAGAAGGCCUGUCUCGAGACAGGCUGGAGACAGUGGAAAAGCAAAUGUAGGUAUAAGUAACGAUAAAGGAGGCGAGAAACCUCCUCGCCGCAAGACCAAGGGUUCCUGAUCAACGCUAAUCGGAUCAGGGUAAGUCGGGCCCUAAGGCGCAGCCGAACGGCGCAGCCGAUGGCAGAAACGGUUAAUAUUCCGUUACUGAAUGUAAGAGUGAUGCGGAGACGGAGCAGUGACACAUCCGCCUGCAGACGGAAUAGCAGGUUAAAGAGUGUAGAUAAUAUUUCGGUAGGCAAAUCCGCCGGGAUAGUCGAACUUGACAGUACCGGGCGUCCUCGGACAACCGGAUAGCGAUGGUAAUCAGACUCCCAAGAAAAUCCGCUAAACAUAUGUUACAUUCACCCGUACCCCAAACGGACACACGUGGUUGGGUAGAAUAUACCAAGGCGCUCGAGAGAUUCACGGUUAAGGAACUAGGCAAAUUGACCCUGUAACUUCGGGAAAAAGGGUCCCAACGUCAAAGUUGGGCGCAGAGAAUAGGUCCAGGCAACUGUUUAACAAAAACACAGGGCUGUGCGAAAUUGAAAGAUGAAGUAUACAGCCUGACACCUGCCCGGUGCUGGAAGGUUAAGAGGAGACGUCAUCGCAAGAGAAGCGUAGAAUUGAAGCCCCAGUAAACGGCGGCCGUAACUAUAACGGUCCUAAGGUAGCGAAAUUCCUUGUCGGGUAAGUUCC
rnacentral:rRNA from 1 species